GAUGAACGCUGGCGGCGUGCCUAAUACAUGCAAGUCGAGCGAACGGCCGAGAAACUUGCUUCUCUGAUGUUAGCGGCGGACGGGUGAGUAACACGUGGAUAACCUACCUAUAAGACUGGGAUAACUUCGAGCCACCGGAGCUAAUACCGGAUAAUCUUUUGAUCCGCAUGGUUCAAAAUUGAAAGACGCUCUUGCUGCAACCUAUAGCUGGCUCCGCGCUGCAUUAGCUAGUUGGUAAGGUAACGGCUUACCAAGGGAACGAUGCAUAGCCGACCUGAGAGGUUGAGCGGCCACACUGGAACUGAGACACGGUUCUGACUCUUAAGUGGGGCAGCAGUAUGGAAUUGUCCGCAAUGAUCGUCAGCCUGACUGGGCCACGCCGCGCGAGUGAUGAAGGUCCUCGAAUCGUAAAAAUCUGAGACGAGGGAAGAACAUAUGUGUAUGUAACGGGGCAUAACAUGCCCGAUGCAACUCAGAGAGCCACGACUAAGUAACUG
rnacentral:rRNA from 1 species